rnacentral:siRNA from 1 species
UGAGCAAAUGUGGUCCGCAAGUC